rnacentral:sRNA from 2 species
GUUAAGAGUUUACGCGUCAGGAUUCACAUGGCAAAUAAAAACACGGGAAAAGCGCUGGUCUGCAUCCGGCGAGGGGGUAUAAUGGCGCUUCUGUUACAGUGAGAGUCGUAAACAUGAAGCGUAGUAGAACGGAAGUGGGGCGCUGGCGAAUGCUACGUCAGGCGAGCCGCCGUAAAGCGCGUUGGCUUGAAGGGCAAUCACGCCGUAAUAUGCGUAUCCAUACCAUCAGGAAAUGCAUCUUUAAUCGUCAGCGUAAUUCAUUACUCUUUGCGAUUCACGGUGUGUGAGCCAGAAAGGGCACCGUAUGCGGUGCCCAACAGGCCA